rnacentral:lncRNA from 1 species
GUAGAGAUGGUACUUGAACCCAUUCUCUUUAAAUUUCCUCGCUCUUUUACAGGGCGUCUUUCCCGCUUCUUGAGAUCAGCCGUCAGCAAACCAUGCUCCCUAGGCACUGCCUGUUUCUGCAAAUAAAGUUUUAUUAAAACACAGCCACACACAUUAUUUACCCAUGUCUAUGACUGCAUUUAGUCUACGAAGGCAGAGGUGAGCGGUUGACACAGAGCCUGGAGGGUCUGCAAAGCUGAAAAUAUCUACGUCUCCCUUUUUAUGGCUACAGGAGUAGCCAGCCCUCCUCUAUUUGAUGAGCUUCUGUUCUUCUUCAGCCUCAGAAAAAGAGAAACCAGGAAUUUUCUUCCGUCCAAAUCGAGGUUCUCCAUCAACUGCUGCCUAUAGUGGAGCCUGUGCUCCCUUUGCCCUGAGUCUGGGAGAACCUUACUCAUUCACUAAGCUCCGGUGCAGCACUUGCUGGAGGACAAAUUCACAUUAUCUGAUUGGCCUGUGUUCCUCUUGCUGUUUCACCUACCGACACGUUAAAAGGAAUUCUAUCAUUUCCUCAACGGAUUAUUCCUGUCGAGAACCACAACAAGGAAGCUUCCUCUUGAGAUUUCAGCCUGGAAUCCUCAUUGUUCAAAGAUAUGCCAUUACCUUUUAAAUCAUCCCCCGAGAAGUUCCUCUUCUAGCCUUUUAUUUAUGGAAUUUCAAUGCUUGGAAAUGGUGAUCACCUCCUCCCAGGGUUUUCUGCCACAUGGCUUUCAUACUUGAGCUCUUUUCAUCUUUUCCCGCAUGCAUUUCCCUCGAGCAAUGAUCAGGCUGAGAAAGUGAUUUCAUUUACAUUGCAAAGGAGACAGAAAAACAAACAGAAAACCCAGAGGCCACGACUUCCCGGGAGUGCUCCAGAGUGUGUGUAUUGCUAGUAGAAGCUAUGUGCACCUCCACACCCCGGAACUAUUUUUGAAGCUUUGAUGUAGAAACGCACAAUACCUACAGCGACCUUAAAUUUCUGUAAAACAAAUAUAGCAUGCAUUGAUGCAAUUGCCAUAUAUUUAUAGAAUUCAACAAUUGCCUUCCACCAACUUUAUCAAAUAUCUGCUGCAUGGGGGCGGUGCUAGGACAGAAACAUAAACAGCUCUGAUUGGUCCAUUAUGCAGACGAAGCACAUGCUUCAAGGACCAGAAAAGCAGAGAGAACACCGUGCUCCUGCCUUACUGGCCAAAUGAUGCAACAAGAAAAUUCAGGAAAGUUAAUUUAAGUUUCAACAUACAGAUUUUUUUGUCCCUUGGAAGACACAGUUUUAAGUUUUAGUUGAGUUUUGUUUUCAUUUUUAUUUGGGUACAGGUCUUGGGAUAGUUCGGAUUUGUGUUCAGAAAAUUUUUACUCCUCCACACUUUGGAGGAAUACCCUUCCCUGACUUAGGGAUGUUGGACUUGGCCAUGUGACUAUUGGCCAGUAAGAUGUUAGCAAGCAUGAUGCCAUCAAGGUCACUGUGGAUUUGCACAGUGGGCCUGGCUCUCCUGCACUUCCAACAUUGCCUUGAGAUGCAUACACAUGCCUGCGUCCAAGGAAGAUGGAAGACACCUGGAGCAAACUUGGACUCAGCCCAUAACUUGAAGCCCAGCCCGGACCACCCCAGGUCAUCUAAACCCCAGCUAAUUUGCAAAUGUUUAUGUGAGAAUAAAUAAUUACCAUUUUAAGCCAC